CCUGUGAUUCUCAUUGUUCUGAAGUUAACUACCCCAGUCAAGGCAUUCGCUGAUAUUUGAGGCUCAUCCAUUGCACACUAGCCUCUUCAUGAUUGUAGUCCCCCUCUUCAAUUUCAUCCUCUGCAUAUUCCAUCUCCAAUAAAUGAAUCUGCAACUUCUUGUGUGUUAACCCAUGUUUUGCUGAGUAUGGUUCAUCAUAAAAAUAACACAACCCCUUAGCCAUUCUCUCAUUCAUGAAAGCAGUUGACAAGUUCCUAGCAAUCCUUGCCUUAGCUUUAAAUGGUUCUGCUUCUAUAAUGCCUUAUUGUUUCAGAGAAGACACUAUUUUAUCUACUAUGGAAGGUUUGCUUUUCAAUGAUAGACUCACUUGCAUCUUAUUGUUAUUUUAAUAUUCAUAUAGUUUGGCUAGUGUGAAAGACUUCUUGACAGUUUGGGGCUGAAAUAUCGUCAUCUACACAACAUUCUUCAAACCCCCCAAUGAAAGUCGCGCCCCAAUUUUUGGCUACGCGACCUCUAAGAGUCGCCACUACAUUGUAUGGUAAAAUAUGUAGAAAAAAUCUUUUAGCUCAAUUACAUUGGGUUUUAGAUUUUUGAUAUUCAGGUUCAAGAAUCGAUUACGGAUCGAGGAAGAUACUAAGACCUCGUCCACUCAUAAUUAAACGGCACCAUAACUAAUUGCAUGCGUUAAAUAUCCUUGAUGUAUUUAAAUUAAAUUGUGUAAACAAAAUAUUUAUUUUUUAUUUUUGUGUAUGAUAAUAUUAAAUAUUGCUCCUACGUAUCCCUAAAUGCUUUAGGAAAUCAUGAUUACAUAGUUCUAAUUUUAAAAUGGUUUGUUUGUAAAAUAAUUAACUCCUUAAAAGGGGGAAGCAAUAGAAACUAAUGUUCGCACAUCAUCCCAUUUUAAAAAGGUUUGAAAAUAAUUAUUAUAUGUUUUUUGGUUUUUAUUAUUAAUUUAGAGAUUAAUCGAGUGAAAAGAAGUGUCGUAACACGACCAUUCAAGGAUAAUAUAAGGACAAAAAGUGUUAACACGACCAGCCUAUAUUCUUUGAUUAAUCACCAAAAUGUUGUAGAUUAUUUUUUAACACUAAUAAAAUAUUAUAUAAAAAUGUUUUUGGGUUAAACAAUUAAAAGUCAUUUAAAGAACUAAAAGGUUGUGAAUUUUUAUAAAUGAAAUUUAUUACUUACUUACAGGAAAAAUUAAUUAUAAAAAAAUCCUAACAAAUUUGUUGAUAGUUAACUAUAUUAAAAGAGUUUUUAUCUUUUUUUUAUUGUUAAUAAUUAAAUAUAAAAAAUAAUUUAUUUUUGUUCCAAAAAUUUAUGUAACCCAUUUAUAAUCAUUGUAAAAAAAAUAUUUUUUUUAUUGAUUAAAUAAGAUUUUUAUUGUUUAAAUAAAAAUACAUUGCACUAUAAAAAUAAUAAAGAAAUAAAAAUAUACCUGAAUAAGGCUCGGAUCGUGUGCAAGCAGAAGUAGAAAUAGUCACCUAUGUGUCGCACAUUCACUGGCUGAAGCUAGACGACUGCCAUGUGGGUGUCUAGGAUUCGUUGUAGGUUGAGGGUACAUCGGGGUCAAUGUGCACUUGCAUACAUAGGAUUAUACACUAGGAUAAGGGCGCUGAUACGAUGCAAGCACGUCUACACGAAGGACGUGGAACUGAUGAAUUAUCACGGCAUGAUUGGUCCUAAAAGGGGUGCACAAUGUCUGGUCUGUACACGGUUGCACUAGAAUGCACGCUUUGGAUGUGGCGCCAAGAUCCGGUGUGAUGCGUCUAUGAGGAAGGUGUUACGCUCGCUUGCGUGUCACUACCACGUUCGUCCAUCUGCUAGUCAUCGCCUCGGUCAGCGAAUUCAAUGGUUGAAAGGAUGGGAGCACACUGCCUCUAGGGAGCUAAUCCGCAUUGGAUCGUACCGUCACCCACCACUCAUUCCUCACCGCACAAACUCCGAUACAAGUCUCUUUCUCUUUCUUCCUACUUUUUUUGCUUUCUCGUAUUCCUCUUUUUUUGUGGAUUUUUCAUAAGCUUUUU
rnacentral:lncRNA from 1 species